UGGAGAGUUUGAUCCUGGCUCAGGACGAACGCUGGCGGCGUGCUUAACACAUGCAAGUCGAACGGAAAGGCCUCUUCGGAGGUACUCGAGUGGCGAACGGGUGAGUAACACGUGGGUAAUCUGCCCUGCACUUCGGGAUAAGCCUGGGAAACUGGGUCUAAUACCGGAUAGGACCUUUUGGCGCAUGCCUUUUGGUGGAAAGCUUUUGCGGUGUGGGAUGGGCCCGCGGCCUAUCAGCUUGUUGGUGGGGUGACGGCCUACCAAGGCGACGACGGGUAGCCGGCCUGAGAGGGUGUCCGGCCACACUGGGACUGAGAUACGGCCCAGACUCCUACGGGAGGCGCAGUGGGGAAUAUUGCACAAUGGGCGCAAGCCUGAUGCAGCGACGCCGCGUGGGGGAUGACGGCCUUCGGGUUGUAAACCUCUUUCAGCAGGGGACGAGCGCAAGUGACGGUACCUGCAGAAGAAGCCCGGCAAAUACGUGCCAGCAGCCGCGGUA
rnacentral:rRNA from 1 species